rnacentral:rRNA from 1 species
UACGGAGGGGGCUAGCGUUGUUCGGAAUUACUGGGCGUAAAGCGCACGUAGGCGGCUUGGUAAGUUAGAGGUGAAAGCCUGGAGCCCAACUCCAGAAUUGCCUUUAAGACUGCCGAGCUAGCAGGUGAGAGAGGUGAGUGGAAUUCCGAGUGUAGAGGUGAAAUUCGUAGAUAUUCGGAAGAACACCAGUGGCGAAGGCGGCUCACUGGCUCAUACUGGACGCUGAGGUGCGAAAGCGUGGGGAGCAAACAGG